rnacentral:rRNA from 1 species
AACGAACGCUGGCGGCAGGCUUAACACAUGCAAGUCGAGCGGGGCAGCAAUGCCUAGUGGCGGACGGGUGAGGAAUACGUAGGAAUCUGCCCUUAAGUGGGGGAUAACCAGGGGAAACCCUGACUAAUACCGCAUGAUCUCUUCGGAGCAAAGAGGGGGACCGCAAGGCCUCUCGCUUCUGGAUGAGCCUACGUCUGAUUAGCUAGUUGGUAGGGUAAAGGCCUACCAAGGCGACGAUCAGUAACUGGUCUGAGAGGAUGAUCAGUCACACCGGAACUGAGACACGGUCCGGACUCCUACGGGAGGCAGCAGUGGGGAAUAUUGGACAAUGGGCGCAAGCCUGAUCCAGCAAUGCCGCGUGUGUGAAGAAGGCCUUCGGGUUGUAAAGCACUUUAGCCUGGAAAGAAAAAACUUUGGUUAACACCCAAAGUCUUGACGGUACCAGGAGAAUAAGCGCCGGCUAACUCUGUGCCAGCAGCCGCUGUAACAC